rnacentral:rRNA from 1 species
GAUGAACGCUGGCGGCGUGCCUAAUACAUGCAAGUCGAGCGAACAGACGAGGAGCUUGCUCCUCUGACGUUAGCGGCGGACGGGUGAGUAACACGUGGAUAACCUACCUAUAAGACUGGGAUAACUUCGGGAAACCGGAGCUAAUACCGGAUAAUAUAUUGAACCGCAUGGUUCAAUAGUGAAAGACGGUUUUGCUGUCACUUAUAGAUGGAUCCGCGCCGCAUUAGCUAGUUGGUAAGGUAACGGCUUACCAAGGCAACGAUGCGUAGCCGACCUGAGAGGGGGAUGGGCCACACUGGAACUGAGACACGGUCCAGACCCCUACGGGAGGCCGGAGGAGGGAAUCUUCCGCAAGGGGCGAAAGCCUGACGGAGCAACGCCGGGUGAGGGAUGAAGGUCUUCGGAUCGUAAAACUCUUUUAUUAGGGAAAAAAAAAUGUGUAAGUAACUAUGCACGUCUUGACGGUACCAAAUCAAAAAGCCACGGCUAACUACGU